GGUCACCUCAGGCUGGGGCUCCGGGCCAUUUUAUUAGGCAAGGCCAGAGAUGAGAUGGGAGCCUGAACCAGGGUGGGGGGGACUGAAUGUGGAGGAGGGGCAGACAAUAAUAAUGCUAUUGCUACCAUUAAUCGAGAAUGUCUACCACUCAGGCACUUUAUCCUACAUUGUUAUGCUUAAUCCUACAGCCACUCCACGAGGUAGGUAGUGUUGCUCUCCACAGUUGGCAGGCAUAGCUCUGAGGCUCAGAGAAGUAAAGAAACUUGUCCGAGAUCACACAGAGAGCAGCAGAGCUGAGAUUCUCAAGACUGGGUCUCUCCGGUACCUGUGCUCCUCAUCUCUGUGCUAUGGUGGAAAAAUUGGCUCAAUGAUUGUGUAUAUAGGGGUGGGGCCGGGAGGACAAGAGAGGAAAUGACAGACCUGGUACCAAUGCCAUGGUUUCUACUCCGAUUACUCAGAGGGAGGCUGGAUGUUUCACAAGACCUGAGGACCCAGGAGCUGCGACCUCAGGUCACUUAAAAGACAUUCCCUCAAGAGCAAAGAGAAAAGACAUCCCAUCAAGGACGAAGAGCGGAGACAUCCCAUCAAGAGCAAAGGAGAAGUGAUGGAAGAGUUGAGUGUCAAACCCCAGCAACGUCAUCACAUUUAAUCCUUCUGAGGCCUGGCCUCAAGACUCCUCCAGACUCGUACAGCCUCUCCUCCCACUGCCAGGCUCCCCGUGUUGGCCGCAGUGUGGCACGGAGUGCCUGCGCUAUUUAUUUCCUAAUAAAAAGACAGCCUGGGUGGCCCAUGGAGAUUAAGACAGAGAUCUACUAUGAGAUGAUUAACCAUAAAAUCACAGACUGUUUCUCCAUAUAUCCAAUGCAGAGCCCCGACGGGGAGCUUCUUGCUUGGCACAGGUGAAGGAGCGUGGCCUGUGGCACCGGAUGGGCUGGGGCUUGGAGUCCGGUGUGGCUGUGUCCUGGGGUGGCCUCGGGCAGGUCACUUCUCCAAGGUCAGUUUUCUCCCUACCGGGAUAAUGGUAACAAAGGUGAUGACUGCAAUGAUGAUGAUGAUGGUGAUGGUGGACGACGGUGCUGGUGUGAGGGCUGGCAUUUCCUGGGGGCUUCCCUACACUUCAAUACAUGUUGAAAAACACCACUUGAUUCUAUGUUGAAAAACACCACUUGCUUCAGGG
rnacentral:lncRNA from 12 species